rnacentral:rRNA from 1 species
CCUAUCAGCUUGUUGGUGGGGUAAUGGCCUACCAAGGCGACGACGGGUAGCCGACCUGAGAGGGUGACCGGCCACACUGGGACUGAGACACGGCCCAGACUCCUACGGGAGGCAGCAGUGGGGAAUAUUGCACAAUGGGCGAAAGCCUGAUGCAGCGACGCCGCGUGAGGGAUGAAGGCCUUCGGGUUGUAAACCUCUUUCAGCAGGGACGAAGCGCAAGUGACGGUACCUGCAGAAGAAGCACCGGCUAACUACGUGCCAGCAGCCGCGGUAAUACGUAGGGUGCGAGCGUUGUCCGGAAUUACUGGGCGUAAAGAGUUCGUAGGCGGUUUGUCGCGUCGUUUGUGAAAACCCGGGGCUCAACUUCGGGCUUGCAGGCGAUACGGGCAGACUUGAGUGUUUCAGGGGAGACUGGAAUUCCUGGUGUAGCGGUGAAAUGCGCAGAUAUCAGGAGGAAC